CUGUCUGUCAUAAAGAGAUGGGGAGAGGUCUGUCUGUAAUAAAGAGAUGAGGAGAGGUCUGUCUGUCAUAAAGAGAUGGGGAGAGGUCUGUCUGUCAUAAAGAGAUGGGGAGAGGUCUGUCUGUAAUAAAGAGAUGAGGAGAGGUCUGUCUGUCAUAAAGAGAUGGGGAGAGGUCUGUCUGUCAUAAAGAGAUGGGGAGAGGUCUGUCUGUAAUAAAGAGAUGGGGAGAGG